UUCUGGCUGGGAGGGGCUGGGAGCUACACUGAGAUGUGAGCCAGGCUGUGAAUUAACUCCCCUGCCUUUGAGAGCAGGGGAAACCUCCAAGCCUGGUAAGGCUCUUUGUGGUCUUAAGUUGACCCACUCCUGCUGUACGCAGGCUGAAUGGUGCCACUGGUUUUGCUCUGUGUAUGAUCAACUCUGCUUGCUAUGCUUUCUGGUAUUGCUGGACUAUGCAACUUCCAGGUGUUCUCAAUCACAUAUUCUGAUGGAAAGAGGCCAGGAGUUAUACUGGGCAGUGGGUGGGGCUAUGAAUUAGUUUUCCUGCCUGGGAAGGUAGGGAGGGCCAUCUCCAGGAAGCCUCUCAAGUAUUCCCAGUCAGGCUUUCUGGUCUGGAUGGACCAGGAGCUACACCUAGGAGGGGGUGGAACUAUGAAUUAGCUCUCCUACCUGGGAGACUGUAGGUGCUCUGGCCAGGCAUUCUGGUCAGGCACAGCUGGAAAGCUGCACUCAGCAAAAGGCCAAGACAUCAUCAGCAAUCCCAAGCAGGGCAGAUCAUUCUCUUCAUUUGAGGACCUGAAUCAGGCAGACCGGUACCCUACAGAAUUCCCUCAUCGGACUGUGCUACCAUCUUGGCUCUGAGGAUGAACAAAGAUGCUGGUUUGGGAUUACUACUUGGGCACUGCAGCAGGAGAAGAUCACCACUGGGGGCUUGAUCUAUUUAUACAGGAGAAAUGCUCCACUGGGUUGCACUUGUGGAGAAACCGAGACCUUUGGUGAUUUCCUCUAAUGACGCUGCUUCCUGAGAGCGGGACAAAAGCAACACAGUCCUUGUCUGGCAUGGCUGACUGAUGGAGAGCCAGUUAUGAAAGCUAUUAAGCAACAGUACAAACAUUUCCACUGUUGGGAGUUCUGGACUAGAGAUCAGGAGACCAGAAUUCUGAACAGAGUUUUCCUUAACAAGUUGUGCAAGAUCAGCCUCUCUGUGCAGUGGAUGGCACCGACUCUGCAACUUGCUGAGAAGGCCAGUAAUGGAUGACACCUGCCAAGUGCCUCAAUGAGCAACCCCUUCACUUCCCCAACCAGACAGACCUACUGGCCAGCUUGCACUUUCGCCUCUGGUUUGGCGAUCCCUAAUAGACUUUAGGCUGUGCUCUCAAGGCAGGAAGAUCGCCUCAGCCAGUGCAGUAACACAGAGUACUCUCAGCCCCUAUGUACAGACAGGAAACAUCCAAUCACAGUUUCAAUGGCACCAGUAUCUGGUUAAUGGAAAACACUUUUCAGUAUUGAAAGGAGUUCAAGAGAAGUAAUGCCUUUCUCUCAUGUACCUCAACAGUUCUUUCCUUGCCUCCCAUUUACAUUCAUUUAAAAUGAAAUUUUCAUUAUUCCCAUUUCAAUUUCUAAUGUUGUUUUCUGUGUUUAUGAAGUGAUAUCCCAGGUGACUUUAUAAUAAAUUUCCCUUCAGUCCUAUGAUUGCUUUCAGUGUAUGAAAUCCAAAUAGGAGAGUCUAAGUUGUGAAUACAGGUCUAUUGUAUAGUAAUUCAUUUUUAUCUUGAAACAAAUAUCUGAAAUUCCAUUUCUUUUCUGUCUCUCUAUAUUUUGUUUCCAUAGUCAGGAGAGCUCGCUUUACUUCGUUCAAUUUUAAUUCUGCAUUCUGUUUGAUAAUAUAAUACCAUAAAAAUAAGGUCUUAAGACUUGACUUCAUAUAUGUAGCUGUUUUUCUCUUCUUAUAAUUC